rnacentral:rRNA from 1 species
UGCUGCAUGGCUGUCGUCAGCUCGUGUCGUGAGAUGUUCGGUUAAGUCCGGCAACGAGCGCAACCCACACUCCUGGUUGCCAGCAUUCAGUUGGGCACUUUAGGAGAACUGCCGGUGAUAAGCCGGAGGAAGGUGUGGAUGACGUCAAGUCCUCAUGGCCCUUACGGGUUGGGCUACACACGUGCUACAAUGGUGGUGACAAUGGGCUAAUCCCAAAAAGCCAUCUCAGUUCGGAUUGGGGUCUGCAACUCGACCCCAUGAAGUCGGAAUCGCUAGUAAUCGCGUAACAGCAUGACGCGGUGAAUACGUUCCCGGGCCUU